AGCAGCCGCGGUAAUUCCAGCUCCAAUAGCGUAUAUUAAAGUUGUUGCAGUUAAAAAGCUCGUAGUUGAAUUUCGGGAUCAGUUCGCUGGUCGUGCCUCUGGUAUGUACUGGUGUUACUGGUUCCUCCCUUCUGACGAACUGUCAUGUCAUUAAUUUGGUGUGGCGGGGAAUCAGGACUGUUACUUUGAAAAAUUAGAGUGUUUAAAGCAGGCUCGCGCUUGAAUACAUUAGCAUGGAAUAAUGAAAUAGGACGUUCGAUCCUAUUUUGUUGGUUUCUAGGAUUGACGUAAUGAUUAAUAGGGAUAGUUGGGGGCAUUAGUAUUCAAUUGUCAGAGGUGAAAUUCUUGGAUUUAUUGAAGACUAACUACUGCGAAAGCAUUUGCCAAGGAUGUUUUCAUUAAUCAAGAACGAAAGUUAGGGGAUCGAAGACGAUCAGAUACCGUCGUAGUCUUAACCAUAAACUAUGCCGACUAGGGAUCGGGAUGGAUGUUAA
rnacentral:rRNA from 1 species